rnacentral:rRNA from 1 species
UGGUUAAACCGGCCGGACGGGACUGAAAGUGGGAGGGGACCAAGACACGCUAGUCGUGCGCUUUCUAGCCAUGAUGGAAGCGCGGCACACAGCUCAGUAGCACGUGGCUAACCUGCCCUUGGGACGGGAACAACCCCGGGACUUAAAGGAACUGGGGCCAAUUCCCGAUAGGUGAAGAUCCCUGGAAUGGGUUUUCGCCCGAAAAGACGUUUGGGUCAUGCUUUCAGGUUGCCCAAGGAUGGGGCCGC